rnacentral:sRNA from 1 species
CCUCCUGAGUAGCUGAGACUACAAGCAUGUUGCCAACACGCCUGUCUCAUUUUGGCAUUAUAAUAUUUUUAGUGGAGAUGAGGUUUCGCCAUGUUGGCCAGGCUGGUCUCAAACUCCUGGCCUCAAAAUUGAGUUUUAUUUUUUAGAUUGCCAAAUUUUAUGACAAAUGGUCACACCCACUGUUGGAGAGGGUACAAAGAUAUGAGCACUCAUAUAAUGGAGGAAUUGAAGCUAUUUAAAUGACAUUAGUGAAGAAUGUUGGUGGCAUAAAUUUUUAAAUGAGUGACCUUUUUUGAUUUUCUUUUUUAAAUUUAUAUAUACACAGAAAAGAGUGAAUAAAUAAACACCAGAAAUGUAGAAAUUAUUGCUGGGUGAUUAAGUGUGGUUUUGUUUUUGGUUUCAAUAUAAUGGCCAUGUAUUUGAGGAUUGGGGUAACAAGGUAGGAGGAGAUACUUCUUUUUACGUAAAAUUUGGCAAGUUUUUAAUCUAAUUUACUAGUUAUAUAAACUGUAAUUUUCAUUUAGAAAGAAAAAAAAAAACAAAGGAAACAAGUGCAUCAUCAUGCUCAGCCUGAGUCAGAAAGCAGCAGCACGGAUUGGCUUCUUGUAGCCUUGAGAUGGGAACACAGAGUGGUCUUCAGUCUACUCGGAAUAACUUUCUUCAUUGAAAUAUUUUCAUUGACUUACUUUUUUCAUUUCCUCAUAAUAUUGUCCCUUUAUAAAUUAUCCCAAAAUUAAAUUAACAUCUCGGUAGUUGUGAAGUGUGUUUUAUUUUAAUGCAGUAUUGGUAUAUGUUUAAGCUGAGUCAGAAAUGUACACUGUUUUCUCCUUUGCAGGCUAUUGAUUACUAUUUGAAAGCGCUAAGGUCAUUGGGAACACGAGACAUACACCCAGCUGUUUGGGAUUCAGUGAACUGGGAAUUGUCCACUACUUACUUUACUAUGGCAACUCUACAGCAAGAUUAUGCUCCGUUAUCUAGAAAAGCUCAGGAGCAGAUUGAAAAAGAAGUCAGUGAGGCCAUGAUGAAGUCCCUAAAAUACUGCGACGUGGAUUCAGUGUCUGCUCGACAGCCCCUUUGUCAGUAUCGAGCUGCAACCAUCCAUCACAGGCUGGCCUCCAUGUACCACAGCUGUCUGAGGAAUCAGGUUGGUGAUGAACACCUUAGGAAACAACAC